rnacentral:tRNA from 3 species
GCCCGGGUAGCUCAGCGGCAGAGCAGCUGCCUUACAAGCAGAAGGCCGGGGGUUCGAUGCCCUCUCCGGGUA